rnacentral:rRNA from 1 species
AUUGAACGCUGGCGGCAGGCUUAACACAUGCAAGUCGAGCGAGCGGCGGACGGGUGAGUAAUGUAUGGGGACUGCCCGAUAGAGGGGGAUAACUACUGGAAACGGUGGCUAAUACCGCAUACUAUCGGAUAACCCAUAUGGGAUUAGCUAGUAGGUGGGGUAAAGGCUCACCUAGGCGACGAUCUCUAGCUGGUCUGAGAGGAUGAUCAGCCACACGGGGACGGAGACACGGCCCAGACUCCUACGGAGGCGGCAGUGGGGAAUAUUGGACAAUGGGGGCAGGCCUAAUGCGGACAUGCCGCGUGUAUGAAGAAGGCCUUAGGGUUGAAAGAUACGUUCAGCGGGAAGGCGUUACCCGCAGAAGAAGCAACGGCUAACUCCGUGCCAGCAGCCGCGGUAAUAC